rnacentral:rRNA from 1 species
GGGGAAUUGUUCGCAAUGGGCGCAAGCCUGACGACGCAACGCCGCGUGGAGGAUGAAGAUCUUCGGGUCGUAAACUCCUGUCGAAUGGGACGAAAAGAUUGCGGGUGAACAGCCCGUAGUCCUGACGGUACCGUUAAAGGAAACACCGGCUAACUCCGUGCCAGCAGCCGCGGUAAUACGUAGGGUGCAAGCGUUAAUCGGAAUUACUGGGCGUAAAGCGUGCGCAGGCGGCUUUGCAAGACAGAUGUGAAAUCCCCGGGCUUAACCUGGGAACUGCAUUUGUGACUGCAUGGCUAGAGUGCGGCAGAGGGGGAUGGAAUUCCGCGUGUAGCAGUGAAAUGCGUAGAUAUGCGGAGGAACACCGAUGGCGAAGGCAAUCCCCUGGGCCUGCACUGACGCUCAUGCACGAAAGCGUGGGGAGCAAA